rnacentral:rRNA from 1 species
CGGGAAACUGGGGAUAAUACCCGAUAGAUCUCGACUGCUGGAAUGCAUCGAGAUCGAAAGCUCCGGCGCCAGAGGAUGGGUCUGCGGCCUAUCAGGUUGUAGUGGGUGUAGCGUACCUACUAGCCUACGACGGGUACGGGUUGUGAGAGCAAGAGCCCGGAGAUGGAUUCUGAGACACGAAUCCAGGCCCUACGGGGUGCAGCAGGCGCGAAAACUUUACAAUGCCGGCAACGGCGAUAAGGGGACCUCGAGGGCCAGGUUACAAAUCUGGCUGUCGUGAUGCCUAAAAAGCAGUGCAUAGCAAGGGCCGGGCAAGACCGGGGCCAGCCGCCGCGUAACA